CCUACGGGAGGCAGCAGUAGGGAAUCUUCCGCAAUGGACGAAAGUCUGACGGAGCAACGCCGCGUGAACGAUGAAGGCCUUCGGGUCGUAAAGUUCUGUUGUUAGGGAAGAACAAGUGCUAGUUGAAUAAGCUGGCACCUUGACGGUACCUAACCAGAAAGCCACGGCUAACUACGUGCCAGCAGCCGCGGUAAUACGUAGGUGGCAAGCGUUGUCCGGAAUUAUUGGGCGUAAAGCGCGCGCAGGCGGUUUCUUAAGUCUGAUGUGAAAGCCCCCGGCUCAACCGGGGAGGGUCAUUGGAAACUGGGAAACUUGAGUGCAGAAGAGGAAAGUGGAAUUCCAAGUGUAGCGGUGAAAUGCGUAGAGAUUUGGAGGAACACCAGUGGCGAAGGCGACUUUCUGGUCUGUAACUGACGCUGAGGCGCGAAAGCGUGGGGAGCAAACAGGAUUAGAUACCCUGGUAGUCCACGCUGUAAACGAUGAGUGCUAAGUGUUAGAGGGUUUCCGCCCUUUAGUGCUGAAGUUAACGCAUUAAGCACUCCGCCUGGGGAGUACGGUCGCAAGACUGAAACUCAAAGAGUAGUAGGACGCGNGAGUGCGACGAGACACCAGGGAGGUAGG
rnacentral:rRNA from 1 species